GUGGUCGAAGAGGUGAUAUGUGUUGCUCCUCCACCUGCUACCCCCCCCCCGCCGGCUUUACCGCUUCCUCGUCCUUUCAAUACACCUAAAUAACGUGUGGUAACUGAGGUUUGUUGAGCUUGGCUAUCUACUGGAACGUUGAUCACAGCAACUUUGACCGGUCUGAGGAGUGCUGUGCCUGGCUGUGUGCUGCAACACUGAUCAACACGGCAACCUAUACCAGUCUGACGAGUGGAGACAACCACACUAGUAAAUGGUUUGACCCAUAACAUUUAGUGUUAUGUGGCGAUUCAGCAGUUGGAGAUGGCGUUAAAGAUGGGCAGGGCCCACUUGUAAGGUCGAAGAUAUUCUCCAUGUGGGCAGCUGUUGUGUGGUGAAGUCCGUGUCGUGGGCAGCUCUGAAGACUUAGAGAUGUCAUAACCAGCAGCAACACGCCAAAACAAUGUUGAUGGAAUUGGAAGAGCUGGAGGUGUUGAAGGUGGGGGGAUGGCAGAGGAGUGAGUAGUGCGCCACUUUUCUUGACCUCCGUGGCUAAAUGGCGCCAUUGACCUGGAGGGUGAUGACGUCAGU